rnacentral:rRNA from 1 species
AUGAGCGAGCUGAUCGCCGUAGCGCUGGAAAAGCGGUGGCGGGAGGAGAGGUCCAAGGCGAGGGAGAAAGCCCGGCAGGAGCUGGUGGAGACGGAGAGGUCGGCCAUGACCAGCCACAGGGUACACCCAGCGGACAUGGAGCGGCUUGGCAUCGUUGACAUCGAGCACAUGGUGAGCCAACACAGACGGCCUGGUGUUCCUCCCAGCCUGUUGCAGCAGCUUGGGCUCUUCCUGAAGGCUGAAGACGAUGGUGAAGUGCCGCAGCAGCAGCAGCAACAGCCGAUCUCUGAUCCCAGCGUUGAUGACCUGGAGGAAGGGGAGAUUCAGUUCUAG